CAGGAGAUGAAUUUAGAGAACAUUUAGUUGCAUUAAGCAAUGAUCUCCUGCCCCACCUAGAAACAUCAGAUCCUGCCAGAAGCACUGCCGUGACUGCAUUCUUCUCUGAGAUGCUGUCUGAUAACAACUUGUUAAGUAAAAAGAUGAAGAAAUGUGUAGUUCGUGCUCUGGCAGCAGUGAGUAACACCCGGAGCUCUGUUCAGCAUUGUUUGUCAAUAAUAGCCUUGGGGAAUGCUACACAAGGUGCUCCAAAAUAUGUGAAAAAGUACAAAAACAUCAUCUUGGAAAGCCUGAUCAAUGGACUUUAUGAUCCCCUAGAAGAGAACAUAGUUGAUGAGGCAUUAACAUCGCUCUCAAAGUUUGUAAAGCUGGUUAAAAU